rnacentral:rRNA from 1 species
UACGUAGGGGGCAAGCGUUGUCCGGAUUUAUUGGGCGUAAAGAGCGUGUAGGCGGCCAGAUAGGUCUGGUGUGAAAACUUGAGGCUCAACCUCAAGAGGUCACUGGAAACCAUUUGGCUAGAGUCCGGAAGAGGAGAGUGGAAUUCCACGUGUAGCGGUGAAAUGCGUAGAGAUGUGGAGGAACACCAGUGGCGAAGGCGACUCUCUGGUCUGUAACUGACGCUGAGGCGCGAAAGCGUGGGGAGCAAACAGG